UCGUAACAAGGUUUCGGUAGGUGAACCUGCGGAAGGAUCAUUGUCGAAACCUGCAGCAGCAGAGCGAUCGCGAUACAGACAGCGGCGAAGCCCCCGAGCCCCACCGUUGCCGUAGUCUGCCGGCCCCGGCUCAUCCUCGGCCGUGCAGAUGCGACACAACAACAAACCCCGGCACAGAUUGCACCAAGGAAUAUGAAACGAAGAGCGCCCCCCAGGGCGACUUCACUAGAAAAACAUGAUGACUCUCGACAACGGAUAUCUCGGCUCUCGCAUCGAUGAAGAACGUAGCGAAAUGCAAUACUUGGUGUGAAUUGCAGAAUUCCGUGAACCAUCAAGUCUUUGAAUGCAAGUUGCGCUCGAAGCCGUCAGGCUGAGGGCAUGUCUGCCUCGGCAUCACGCAACGCAUCGCCCCCGGCCUCCCUUCACGGUGCGCCUCAGGGGCGGAGGAUGGCCUCGGCGACCCUGUGUUGCGGCUGGCCGAGAAGUGGAGUCACGCCAGAACGGGUCAUCACCGCAGGUGGUGGCAUCUCGCUCAUCGCGGCCUACCAUGCUUGCACCAGUCCCGGACCGUGCCUCCACAACCCCGCGUGUGUCGGCGCCUCAACCGAGACCCCAGGUCAUGCGGGACUACCCGCUGAGUUUAAGCAUA
rnacentral:rRNA from 1 species